rnacentral:rRNA from 2 species
UUGAUUUUGGUCGCCAACGAGUGGCGGACGGGUGAGUAACACGUAGGUAACCUGCCCAGAAGCGGGGGACAACAUUUGGAAACAGAUGCUAAUACCGCAUAACAACGUUGUUCGCAUGAACAACGCUUAAAAGAUGGCUUCUCGCUAUCACUUCUGGAUGGACCUGCGGUGCAUUAGCUUGUUGGUGGGGUAACGGCCUACCAAGGCGAUGAUGCAUAGCCGAGUUGAGAGACUGAUCGGCCACAAUGGGACUGAGACACGGCCCAUACUCCUACGGGAGGCAGCAGUAGGGAAUCUUCCACAAUGGGCGCAAGCCUGAUGGAGCAACACCGCGUGAGUGAAGAAGGGUUUCGGCUCGUAAAGCUCUGUUGUUAAAGAAGAACACGUAUGAGAGUAACUGUUCAUACGUUGACGGUAUUUAACCAGAAAGUCACGGCUAACUACGUGCCAGCAGCCGCGGUAAUACGUAGGUGGCAAGCGUUAUCCGGAUUUAUUGGGCGUAAAGAGAGUGCGGCGGUUUUCUAAGUCUGAUGUGAAAGCCUUCGGCUUAACCGGAGAAGUGCAUCGGAAACUGGAUAACUUGAGUGCAGAAGAUGGUAGUGGAACUCCAUGUGUAGCGGUGGAAUGCGUAGAUAUAUGGAAGAACACCAGUGGCGAAGACGCUGCCUGGUCUGCAGCUGACGCUGAUAACUCGAAAGCA